UACGAAGGGGGCUAGCGUUGCUCGGAAUCACUGGGCGUAAAGCGCACGUAGGCGGCUUGUUAAGUCGGGGGUGAAAUCCUGGAGCUCAACUCCAGAACUGCCCUCGAUACUGAUGAGCUCGAGUCCGGGAGAGGUGAGUGGAACUGCGAGUGCAGAGGUGAAAUUCGUAGAUAUUCGCAAGAACACCAGUGGCGAAGGCGGCUCACUGGCCCGGUACUGACGCUGAGGUGCGAAAGCGUGGGGAGCAAACAGG
rnacentral:rRNA from 1 species